rnacentral:rRNA from 1 species
GACGAACGCUGGCGGCGUGCUUAACACAUGCAAGUCGAACGAAGAGCGAUGGAAGCUUGCUUCUAUCACUCUUAGUGGCGAACGGGUGAGUAACGCGUAAUCAACCUGCCCUUCAGAGGGGGACAACAGUUGGAAACGACUGCUAAUACCGCAUACGAUCUAAUCUCGGCAUCGAGGAUAGAUGAAAGGUGGCCUCUACAUGUAAGCUAUCACUGAAGGAGGGGAUUGCGUCUGAUUAGCUAGUUGGAGGGGUAACGGCCCACCAAGGCGAUGAUCAGUAGCCGGUCUGAGAGGAUGAACGGCCACAUUGGGACUGAGACACGGCCCAGACUCCUACGGGAGGCAGCAGUGGGGAAUCUUCCGCAAUGGACGAAAGUCUGACGGAGAAACGCCGCGUGAGCGAUGACGGCCUUCGGGUUGUAAAGCUCUGUUAAUCGGGACGAAAGGCCUUCUUGCGAAUAGUGAGAAGGAUUGACGGUACCGGAAUAGAAAGCCACGGCUAACUACGUG